rnacentral:rRNA from 1 species
UACGGAGGAGGCUAGCGUUGUUCGGAAUUACUGGGCGUAAAGCGCACGUAGGCGGCUUUGUAAGUUAGAGGUGAAAGCCCGGGGCUCAACCCCGGAAUUGCCUUUAAGACUGCAUCGCUAGAAUUGUGGAGAGGUAAGUGGAAUUCCGAGUGUAGAGGUGAAAUUCGUAGAUAUUCGGAAGAACACCAGUGGCGAAGGCGACUUACUGGACACAUAUUGACGCUGAGGUGCGAAAGCGUGGGGAGCAAACAGG